GGGUCUAUGAGGACAAACCAACGUCAUGAAGAGAGGUGAUGACAAAAAAUAUCAUGCUCAGGAUGGGGCUGCUGAGUCCC